rnacentral:lncRNA from 1 species
GUAGAAUUUGAUCAAAAUGAAUCCUAAUGUUUAAAUUAAAAGAACCAAUAAAAACAAAGAAAAAAUAAUUACAAUGCCACAUGCUUGAGGUAGUAUAUUGAGUAAAAUAAUUCCAUAAGUGCUUUAAAUUUAGCAAAUCCAACAUUGUCUAAAGUUAUGUCCCCUUCUUUGUAUAAGCCCCUUCGGAUUUAUUCAUACUAUAUGCUUUACAUUUUUGCCAUUACAAAUUAAUGACGUACUUCAAAUAAUCUAAAAAGUAAUUCUAAUAUUUUCAGAGAAGAGUAUGAAAUCAGACUAUUUAAUUUUAACAGAACUGACAUUCUUUUAAAAUUUUUGUUAUUUUUAUUACUAUUAUUAUUUCACUUCUAGGGAUCGAACCCAGGAUUCAUGCAUUCUAUGCAACACACUACCAUUAAGCUCCAUUCUGUAUCCUAUCAGUAGAUUUUCUCUUGGGGGAAAUGCCAAAAGAGUAACAUUGUUUUGUUUCAUAAUUUAAAUGCAUUGGAAAGGACUUUUUUUCUCAUCAGAGAGACAAUGGUUGGCACAUUCUGAAAACAUAAUAGUUUACUUUAAUCCUUUCUCAUAUCAGCUAUUUCUACAUGACAACUUGCUGCUACCUCCCUAGUACUUCUAAGUUUUCCUAUGACAACAAAGUAGAUACCAGAAUGUACAAACUCUCAAGGAUUUCAUCUUUUUAGUGUCCCCCCCUCACUGCCCACAUUGGAGGUAAUGCCUUGUUUAUAUGACACAUAAGAGAGAAAGCAUCUGGAAAUAAGAGAAUAAUAUCUUCACCAGAACAGGAUUAGUGAGGGUUAACAUAUCAAUUUCUAUUUAGCUCUCCUCAUAUUUAACCUGGAAUGUCUAUGUAAGCAUUCCAGUUCCUGGUCUGUUUUCUUGAGUUUUGCCAUGCAGCAAAGUACACUGUCCAUGCAUCCACCUUCCUUGUGGUAAAGGGUUUCAUUUUAACCUGAGCAGUUUUGACUGAAAAUCUGGAGCGAUUGUGUAUCAUAACAGCCUAAGAAUAUUCUCUGAUAAUUAUUCCUACUGCAAUUAGUCCAGAAAAAUCAUGCUAUUUGUUUGACACUUUCAUCUCUAUGCUCCUGAAUCUGCUAAUGAUAUUGUUUUCUGUCCAUCUUGUAACUUUUAGGUAAAAGUACAGUCAUGGGACUGUUUACUUUUACUUUUAGGUAUCAAAUUUUGAUAAAUCCCAUGCAUCUUCCUUGCAUUUAAAAAGUGCAAAGUAUGGGACUGAAGAGUUCUUAAUGCAUUAAUUGCCUAUCAGAAAUAUAAUUAAUAUUCAUUCUAGAAAAGGCUCCAUAUAUGGGCCUAGAAGAAUUCUCUAUAAAAAAGCAUCAGACUCAUACACUUUUAAUAUUUUAUAUUUUCUAUUGUUGAUUAAAUAUGUAUUUUACUCUUUUCUUUAAUAGUGGAUGAAGAUUCUACGGAUGACAAUUUAAAAAGGUAGGAUUUUAUAGAGUAAAAAAAUUGUAUGAUAGCUAAUUAUAGAAUGAAGAUGAAAGGAACAAAUAUUUUUUGAGUGUUCCAGUCUAGGAUAGACAAUUGCAUCUAACACUUGUUUGUUAAAGUCAUCGCAAUGACUUUGAAAGUGUCUGUGCUAUUAUAACCUGUUAUUUACUAAUUAAGCAGUUCUCACUCAUUCAUAGAAGUUG